rnacentral:rRNA from 1 species
UUAACACAUGCAAGUCGAGGGGCAUCGCGGAGUAGCAAUAUUCUGGCGGCGACCGGCGCACGGGUGAGUAACGCGUAUGCAACCUACCCCGAACAGGGGGAUAACCCGGGGAAAUCCGGACUAAUACCCCAUAACGAUCGUAACGGGCAUCCGUUUCGGUCCAAAGCGGCGACGCGGUACGGGACGGGCAUGCGUAACAUUAGCUAGUUGGUGGGGCAACGGCCCACCAAGGCGACGAUGUUUAGGGGACCUGAGAGGGUGAUCCCCCACACUGGUACUGAGACACGGACCAGACUCC